rnacentral:rRNA from 1 species
GGACCCGCACAAGUAGUGGAGCAUGUGGUUUAAUUCGAAGAUACGCGCAGAACCUUACCAACACUUGACAUGUUCGUCGCGACUCUAAGAGAUUAGAGUUUUCGGUUCGGCCGGACGAAACACAGGUGCUGCAUGGCUGUCGUCAGCUCGUGUCGUGAGAUGUUGGGUUAAGUCCCGCAACGAGCGCAACCCUCACUUUAGUUGCCAUCAUUAAGUUGGGCACUCUGAAAGAACUGCCAGUGAUAAGCUGGAGGAAGGUGGGGAUGACGUCAAGUCCUCAUGGCCCUUACGUGUUGGGCUACACACGUGCUACAAUGGUAUCUACAACAGGAAGCAAGACGGCGACGUUAAGCAAAUCCUUAAAGAUACCUCAGUUCGGAUUGCACUCUGCAACUCGAGUGCAUGAAGCCGGAAUUACUAGUAAUCG